GGGCGAUCCGUCACUCGCCACUCUCAGACAGGCUGCUAUUAAUCACGCCGGCCACAUCCAUCAGGUUCUUCUCUUUUGGCCACGGCUCAUAGUCACAGAAGCGCAGCCAGGGUCUCCUGAUAAAUCAAACCCAACAGUUCUAUGAUAUGGAUGACACAGGAUCAAAAGACGCUGUGUGGGAAGUUCUACAUCACUGGGCAUGCUGUACACAUGGAAGCUCUUCAGCUGGUGUUUAGAGGAUGGAUGAGACUCAGAAGGGCAGACCCCAGGAUAUAGGGAAUGAGAACAUCCACCAAAUGGUGAACAGAGAUGUGAGGAACCCCUGCCUAGGAUGUGGAGCCAACUUGGAUAACCACCUGCAGGUCUGCUUCACCCAGAAUCGACCCAACAGUGGAGAGCAGAAGGCCAGAAAGGAGAAAGGCUAAUGUGAGCAGUUUCUUUGAGGUGAGAACCAUAAAGGAAUUUUUAACUCCCGAGGCUGGGAGCUCCAGAGAGUGCUACCUGGCCUGAGCUGGAAAUACGA
rnacentral:lncRNA from 1 species